rnacentral:rRNA from 1 species
AACGAACGCUGGCGGCAGGCUUAACACAUGCAAGUCGAACGCAUCGCAAGAUGAGUGGCAGACGGGUGAGUAACGCGUGGGAACAUACCCUUUUAUACGGAAUAGCUCUGGGAAACUGGAAUUAAUACCGUAUACGCCCUACGGGGGAAAGAUUUAUCGGGGAAGGAUUGGCCCGCGUUGGAUUAGCUAGUUGGUGGGGUAAAGGCCUACCAAGGCGACGAUCCAUAGCUGGUCUGAAAGGAUGAUCAGCCACAUUGGGACUGAGACACGGCCCAAACUCCUACGGGAGGCAGCAGUGGGGAAUAUUGGACAAUGGGCGCAAGCCUGAUCCAGCCAUACCGCGUGAGUGAUGAAGGCCUUAGGGUUGUAAAGCUCUUUCACCGAUGAAGAUAAUGACGGUAGACGGGGAAGAAGCCCCGGCUAACUUCGUGCCAGCCGCCGCGGUAAGAC